GCGCUCGUAGUAUAGUGGCAGUAUUCGUGGUUGCCAUCCACGUGACCCGGGUUCAAAUCCCGGCGGGCGCA
rnacentral:tRNA from 1 species